UAUUAGCCACUAGUGGAGGAGACCCACUUCGAAACUCCUUGUAGCCACACUUUUAAGGAAAAGAAGACUAUCACACAUCUUAGUUAAAACCAAAGCAUCUCAAUAUUACCAGCUGACAAAGGGAGGUGCACUGCUGUUCUCAAUUCAUCUGAUUAUCACUACAAAAUGACAACACCUUUCAACAAUUUGAGGAGUGCGGUAAUAUUUUACAGCAACACUUAUGCGUUCUUAAGGCAGAUGGCCUGAGAUUUGAUCUACAAUAUUUAUACAGAGGAGUUCUUGCCUCACUUGGUGACUCCAAAGUUCCCAGGUCCUUUGUCUGCAAAACAAGCCCAAAUCAUCACCCCUCCACCACCGUGUUUGACAUCUGGUAUGAGACCCUGUCGCACAGUCCAGUUGGGAGGAGGAAAGAUGACUUUGUCUGGCCGAGAAACACUGCAAACGGCACAGUCACAAGGUUAUCUUGGCUGGAAUGAAGGAAAUGUAGUGAAAGAGAUCAGGGGAAUGGCAUGCACCAAAGGUCCAGAUGGCCAUCUGAACUAGUUGUAUUUGAUGAGAAGCUAGAAUGAGACUCAAGAGAAAGAUUCAGAAAGAUUCUUACAGAACUUGGAAAGAAGGCAUUCUUGUUUUCUGCCAAUCCUCAUUGAAUGCAUUACAGAAGGACUCGCAGCUCUCUCAGUUAAAUCAUCACUAUGUGAACUUGUUCCUGUUUUUGAAAUGACUGUGUAAA